UACAGAGGUCUCAAGCGUUGUUCGGAUUCAUUGGGCGUAAGGGUGCGUAGGCGGCGCGGUAAGUCGGAUGUGAAAUCUCGGAGCUUAACUCCCGAAACUGCAUUCGAUACUGCCGUGCUUGAGGACUGGAGAGGAGACUGGAAUUUACGGUGUAGCGGUGAAAUGCGUAGAUAUCGUAAGGAAGACCAGUGGGCGAAGGCGGG
rnacentral:rRNA from 1 species